UACGAAGGGGGGCUAGCGUUGCUCGGAAUCACUGGGCGUAAAGCGCACGUAGGCGGAUCUUUAAGUCAGGGGGUGAAAUCCCAAGGCUCAACCUUGGAACUGCCUUUGAUACUGGGGAUCUCGAGUCCGGAAGAGGUGAGUGGAACUGCGAGUGUAGAGGUGAAAUUCGUAGAUAUUCGCAAGAACACCAGUGGCGAAGGCGGCUCACUGGUCCGGUACUGACGCUGAGGUGCGAAAGCGUGGGGAUCAAACAGGG
rnacentral:rRNA from 1 species